GCUCCACUUGGAGUCAGCUGAUUGGCAGGAGGGCAUCUGAAAUUGAGAGGAGGUUUCAGGCCGUUUACCCAGCCCUUUAGUGGGGAUCUGUCCGGGACUCUGCAGUCUGAACCUGCAACUGUAAAAGAGGUCUGGUUGAAGGACAUGAGCAGUGCAGAACAGAAGAGAGACAACAAAUAAAAGUGGUCAUCACUGUUUCAACUGGGAAGAGCAGUAUGGAUAUAGAAACCAAGUCAGGAGGGGAAACAAGGUCUCUAUCCCCUCUGGGAGCCCCUGGGGCAUACCCUAGCUAAGUGUAGAUCCUAUACCUAUGAGCCCUUGACUAAGAGAAAAACGGUCUAUUAUUGCAGUGCUGUUUGGACUGUGGACAAGUUAGGUUAUAAAUUUUGACCUCUGACUGGACGUAACCAAUACUAGUCUUUAAUGCAGUUAGACUCAUUUUGUCAGAGGUCUGGAAAAUUAGAAAAAAUACCAUAUGUCCAAGCCUUCAUGCUUUUUGAAAAUCAGGAUUCAUACCAUGAGGGAAGACGCCAGCUGCCAGCUGUACCAAGGGACAGAAUGGAAAAAGGACUCUUCACAAGCCAGAUAGCCAAACUCAGGCAGAAAGCAAUGAAGAAGAAUUAGGACUUUUAAAUGUCCUACACCCAAGCUGUUUUAGCAGCUCCAACCACCACAGCCAGAACGCACCUGGCCUCUGCUCCACCCCAACAGCUCCCACUGCGGUACCGCCAUACGGGGCCCUUAGCGCCGGCCUCUGCGUUGGCCCGGAUUGCCUUGAUGCUACCAAGUGAGGCAUCAGACCAAUAAGAGGGAGCUACUCUGCCUCCUCAGUAUAAUGAGAUAACAGAGAUGGCCUCUCCCUCCAGUGCUUGACAGGGUACACAAUUAAGCAAGGAAGUGCCAUUUCAGGAAUGCUAAGAAUCCUCAUCUCAGAAUGAGGAAUGACUUCCAUGAAGCUGAAUGUCUCUUCCAAGUUUCUAGGUCACAGGAGCUCAUUUUCUCACUGUCACUAUUACCAUGGUGUAGAAAAUAGACCCCAUGUUUAUAAACCAAAAAACAAGUCAACAUUAUACAUGGCCAUUGGUGUGC
ensembl:lncRNA novel transcript